GCCAGCUUGGCAUAGUGGUUUGAGUGUUGGACUAAUUGUCUCUGGAGACCAGGGUUCGAUUCCCAGCUCAGCCA